AUUGAACGCUGGCGGCAUGCCUUACACAUGCAAGUCGAACGGUAACAGGUCUUCGGAUGCUGACGAGUGGCGAACGGGUGAGUAAUACAUCGGAACGUGCCCGAUCGUGGGGGAUAACUACUCGAAAGAGUAGCUAAUACCGCAUACGAUCUACGGAUGAAAGCGGGGGAUCUUCGGACCUCGUGCGGACGGAGCGGCCGAUGGCAGAUUAGGUAGUUGGUGGGAUAAAAGCUUACCAAGCCGACGAUCUGUAGCUGGUCUGAGAGGACGACCAGGCACACGGGGACUGAGACACGGCCCAGACUCCUACGGGAGGCAGCAGUGGGGAAUUUUGGACAAUGGGCGCAAGCCUGAUCCAGCAAUGCCGCGUGCAGGAUGAAGGCCUUCGGGUUGUAAACUGCUUUUGUACGGAACGAAAAGACUCCUUCUAAUACAGGGGGUCCAUGACGGUACCGUAAGAAUAAGCACCGGCUAACUACGUGCCAGCCGCCGCGGUAAUAC
rnacentral:rRNA from 1 species